rnacentral:pre_miRNA from 1 species
AAUAAACGAAUUUCUAAGUUGUUAGAAUUUUUGACUUUUAGUAUUAUUUAAAAAAUAUUUAUGAUUAAUAUUGUUAUUGCUACUACAUGAUAAAACACGAAUAUUACUUUACGCGUGACUAUUUUUUAAUUUUUUAAUAAUUUUUUUAAAUAAGACAAAUGGUCAAAUGCUCGAGCCGGAAAAC